CCAUAUAACAGAGAAACAUAGUACUAGUUCAUAACAACGUGAAUGUGGUCGCGUUGAUAAGCUAUCUUAUAUUUUGAUAAGAAACGGAAAAUCGUGAUGUUCACGCGAGGCAGUAUCAUUGUCCUACUACGACAAGUUGUCUUGUGCUCGAGUUAAGCCUUCUGUUUUCUUCUUCCGUUCUCUUCGUCCUGUUGAACAACAGUGCGUGUAGGUGGAUGCUGUCGCAACCGAAAAAGCGAAAAAGUUAUUGCAUUGCCAUGAGUUACGACAUCACAUCACCCUGCAAAUUCCUUUAGCAGAACAAACGUUUAUCAGAAAUUCAGAAGAAACCAAACAUCGAGGACAUACGAGGUCUAUCCCAAAAUAUUUAUCAAUUUUGGUUUCCAUAUCAAAAGUUUAAUUUAAUUUAUAGAAAAUACUUAUUACAAUAUUUAUAUCACCAAAUAAGUUUAUAAAAAACUAAAUUCAAAAAUCUUUCUAAGAAUACCAAUUAUGUGCCCUGCAUCAAAGUUGUUUCUCGAUAAACAAAAAUAAUAUAUAUUUUGAGGCGGAGUGAGUACAUGCCACGUGUGACAAUCUGAAUAUACUGUCUACGUAUAUAUUACCUGGCAUCAUUGUUUUUGCUGUUUUCAUUCUUCCAAACUUGCGUGCUCUUCUCACGAACGGAGCACGUAUUUCCAACUUUGCGUACGUGUGUUUCAUGUCUGUUUGUUUGCGCUGAUAUUCAAUGCCUCAACUGCUAGCAAGAUCAGAUAAGACUGUGUACCUUCCCAUCUCACUGGCAUGCUCCUCAUUGCAUUUUUUUUGAAAAAAAAAAACAAAACAAAUCAUCAAUUCAUAUAUUGCGUCGCGUAUCCUACAGCCAUUUCUUGUUGGCGAUGGCCCCCUUGUGCCAG
rnacentral:lncRNA from 1 species